UACGAGGGGGGCGAGCGUUGUUCGGAAUUAUUGGGCGUAAAGGGUGCGUAGGCGGUUUGGUAAGUCUUGUGUGAAAUCUACAGGCUCAACUUGUAGUCUGCACGAGAAACUGCCGGGCUUGAGUAUGGGAGAGGUGAGUGGAAUUCCUGGUGUAGCGGUGAAAUGCGUAGAUAUUGCUCGGAAGGCCAACGGCGAAGGCAGGUUACUGGUGCGCAACUGACACUGAGGCACGAAAGCCAGGGGAGCGAACGGG
rnacentral:rRNA from 1 species